rnacentral:rRNA from 1 species
UCGCGUCCGAAGUCGUUAAUUUUGAUGAAUCUGGAUAACUUUUGCCGAUCGCAUGGUCAAGUACCGGCGACGCAUCUUUCAAAUGUCUGCCUUAUCAACUUUCGAUGGUAGUUUCUGCGACUACCAUGGUUGUCACGGGUAACGGGGAAUCAGGGUUCGAUUCCGGAGAGGGAGCCUGAGAAACGGCUACCACAUCCAAGGAAGGCAGCAGGCGCGCAAAUUACCCACUCCCGGCACGGGGAGGUAGUGACGAAAAAUAACGAUACGGGACUCUUUCGAGGCCUCGUAAUCGGAAUGAGUACACUUUAAAUAUUUUAACGAGGAACAAUUGGAGGGCAAGUCUGGUGCCAGCAGCCGCGGUAAUUCCAGCUCCAAUAGCGUAUACUAAAAUUGUUGCGGUUAAAAAGCUCGUAGUUGCAUUUGUGCGCGCGCUGUCGGUGCACCGCAUCCGCGGUGAUACUGACACGUCUGCGGAGCAUAUCGUCGGUGAGCCGGCGGUAAAACGCCGGUUCAAUAUCAAAAUCCUAUCGCGGUUCUCUUCGGUGAGUGUCGAGAUGGGCCGACAAUUUUACUUUGAACAAAUUAGAGUGCUCAAAGCGGGCUCAAAAUGCCGCUUGAAUAUUUCGUGCAUGGAAUAAUAGAAUAUGAUCUCGGUUCUAUUUUGUUGGUUUUCAGAACUCCGAGGUAAUGAUUAAUAGGGAUAACUGGGGGCAUUCGUAUUGCGACGUUAGAGGUGAAAUUCUUGGAUCGUCGCAAGACGAACAUCAGCGAAAGCAUUUGCCAAAGGUGUUUUCAUCAAUCAAGAACGAAAGUUAGAGGUUCGAAGGCGAUUAGAUACCGCCCUAGUUCUAACCGUAAAUAUGUCGUCUAGCGAUCCGCCGACGUUAACCUUUAAGUAUGGACGUCGGGUCUCAUAGACCCAUAUAGGUCUACGAAUUCUACAAAUCGGCCACUUCUCGGUGACCUCCGCCACUGAGUCUCUCAGUACCUUUCGUAUUAAUGCCAAAAUGAAUGUAGAUAGCAGUGGUUGUGUCUCUGGGUUCAAAACACGUGAGUAUUUAACUUUCUAAACGGGACCUGGGUCUGUCAGACCCGACGUCCAUGUUUUCCAUACAUAAUGAUUUCAAAACCCCAUAUAUUUUUAUAAUAUUACAAAAUAUACUUUAAUAUUUUAAUUGUAUUAUUUGUAUUCAAAUGUUUUUAUUGUUAUAUAUCAUAUAUUACUUUGCAUUAUUUGUUAUAUAUUUUAGUAAUAUAAAUAUUAUUUACGUAAAAAAGACUAAAUUUUUAUAGUUUUUAUGAUAAAAUGGAAAAAAAUGAUUGACUAAGCACGUCAGGGACAAAUAUAUCAGUACUUUAUAAUCAACAUCAAACAAAAGAAUUGGACGACGUCAUUUUAUAAAGAACAUAGCACUUUAUCAAAUAAAAAGACGCGUUUCGUAUACUAAACUACUCUAAGAAUUGAGAAUGACUUUGACUCGCGUUUCGCGAUCUGAUCUAUCAUUUAUUGAACAUGAAGCUAAAAAAAUAGUUUUGGGUUCUUGAAAAACAU